UCGGUUUUGGUCCCUUUUUAAGGAGACUUUAGACCGACUUUCUCCUAAUAUUUGUAGCUGAUUAACUCAAGUUGGUCAAUGACUAAUUUUCCCCUUUCACUUGGGCCUUAGACUUUAGACCGAAUUUCUCCUAACAUUUGUAGAUGAUUAACUCAAGUUGGUCAAUGACUAAUUUUCACCUUUCACUUGGGCCUUUUGGAUCUCUAAAUCAAUGGGCUUUAGUGGCCCAUUUCCUUACUCUUUCUUGCACUUUGUUUGGGCUCAAUUUUGUUAGUAGUGAAUGAAUGUAGUUGGGCCUAUUAUAUAAAAAUCUUGGGCUGAACAUCUUGGCCCAAUAUAAUGUUAAACCAUUGUCUUUAAUAGCCUCCCUAACUUGGGCUUCGUUUGUCACAAGACUUGGAAAGUUUCGGCGUUAAGCCUUGUCUUCGUUCCCCUUUCUUUUUACUAACGUCUAGACUUCAAGUGAGUUCACUUAUGAAUGAAUUCUUCUCCCUCAUGUAUAUAUAAUUUUUAAGCUAAGCACACAGGUGACUCACCUGCUAGCUUCCUAAGUUCCAUAAGCAUGUCAAUGAUUUUCUCCGUUUAAGGCCACAGUCUCUAAAUAGACUUCCAUAUAGUGCCCCAAUCUAACACUUGAACACUUGAAAAAUUUUGUUAGUAAUUAAAUCAAGUCGUAUGUCAUUUUAUGUGAACAUUACUAGUACAUGUAAAAUGUGGGGUGUUACACAGUCACGAUUCGCAUCCUUACUGGAAAUAUCUAUCUUCCCUUUGUCAGUCUUUUACUUCUUUCCUAGGGAGCAAGAAAAGGGCAGCCAUUAGCUCAUCCGUAUCUUGCCCCCAAUUAGUAAGUAAGCCUUCAGUUACCGUGAUUAUUUUCUUCGCCAUAAUGUCAGUUCAAUGUCAAUGACAAUGAUGGUGAAGAAAAGAUGAUCUAAUAAGAUAAGUGUUGAUUAGGAUGAUUUUUGAAUGUGCUCUGUGCUCUCUUCAAUAAAGGCAAUGAACGAAGAUUUCUUCUUAUUUACAGCACUAGAGUCGAGUCGACUUCGGUUCUCUUUCUUUUCAUUUGGUCCAAAGAAUAGGAUCUCUUGCAUUGCGGUACAGCAUAUUCCGACAUAUGGUAAAGUAACCAUUCAUACUAACUUCACAGGAAUAAGCAGAUCAAAGGAAUAACCAUAAAAAAAGAAGGAAAAUGCAAAAUAUACAAAUACGUCGUACUUAAAUAAGUAUAAUCAACACGCAGUAGCCGGGAAAUUAGAAAAACAAGGGCGUUUUGACGUCAUAAUCUUUUUUGAUUGCAUUUUUCACCGGGCUUGGACCAUGUCUCCCAAACAAUCUCAGUACAUAUGGUGCAAGACGAUUCCAUAUAUCGAGGUCGGAAUGGGAUGGGGUGUUUUCACGUCUUACCGUAGUGCCCGGUUUGUCUUAAUUUCCGAUUGAUGAACAAGAAGGAAAAUGGAACAAUUGGAUUUUGGACUCGCCCCCGGAUACGUGUCCUUUGGACCCUUCGUCUGCCCGCCACCAGUGAAAGUAAGCUAGCCCCCUAUGUUGGAAAGUUAGGGGAAGAGUGCAUUUCCAUCACGAAAGAUUCAAUCCAGCCACAGGUUCCCCUACGGCUACCUUGUUACGACUUCACCCCAGUCGAAGACCCCACCGUGGUAUGCACCAAUAAGACCACGAAAGGCCUUUGUGGCACUAGUGUGCCACAGAAGUCAUGGGUGAUCAUUGGUCUGAUGCUUCGGGCGAAACUAAUUCCCAGGGUGUGACGGGAGGUGUGUACAGGGCCUGGGUACAUAUUCACCGCGGCAUGCUGAUCUGCGAUUACUAGAGAUUCCAACUUCAUGUUCCUAAGUUGCAGAGAACAAUCCGAACUGAGGCAAUCUUUCCGGAUUCGCUCUGCCUUACAGCCUUUCUUCCUAUUGUAAUUGCCAUUGUAGAACGUGUGUGGCCCAGCCCAUAAGGGCCAUAUGGACUUAACGUCAUCCCCACCUUCCUCCAGUAUAUCACUGGCAGUCUUUCGUCAGUGCGGCACGCACCUUUUUGUUGGUUUUCGAGCUGUUUGUUUGGGCGGGGCGUACUAAACCCACUAUGUACCACACCACCGGGUGGCUCGCCUGAAUACCAAGUCUUUCUUUGCCAUCAACUUGACAUCAUCGUCACCUGAAAGAUAUGGCCAAAAACAUCGACUUUACUAAACAAGAGAGAAAGGCCCUUUCUAUCAUCAUUAGUCAAGCGCGCUAGCUGCAAUAAAAAAGAGCGCUAACUAGAAAUAGAAAGUGCUUCAAAAGGCACCGGCUACCUUCUUACUGGCAGCACAGCUAGGUGCUGGCACUCAAUUAGUAGCGCUGGCACGUCACUCGGCUCCUCAGCUCACUUCGGUUGCAAAGACUUUCUCCUUAGACGCAUGCCUCAGUAACACAAAAUGAGGGUUUCGCUCGUUAUAGGACUUGAGCAAACAUCUCACGACACGAGCUGACGAUAACCAUGCAGCACCUGUAUGAAAGUCAGUACCAUCCCGUUAAGGAUAGGUUUUCUUGUUCAUAUAUCAAGGGCUGGUAAGGUUUUGCGCAUUGUAUCAAAUUGAACCAUAUGCUCCACUACUUGUGUAGGCCCUCGUCAAUUCUUUUGAGUUUUGGUCUUACGACUGUACUCCCCAGGUAGAGUGUUUCAUGCAUUGCUGGGCCCCUGAUCCGCGUAGAACAAGGGUGAACACUCAUCGUUUACGGCAUGGACUACUAGGGUAUCUAAUCCUGUUCGCUCCCCAUACUUUUGCACCUUAGCGUCGAUAGGGACCUAGAGAGUUGCCUUUGAUUUUGGCAUUCCUUCGUAGAUCUCUGGAUUUCACCCCUACACAUGAAAUUCCACUCUCCACUGUCUCAUUCAAGUGAAUUGGUUUCAAGAGCAUUCCGCCAGUUUUUGGCUGCUUUCACUUUCAACCUGAUUUACCACCUACAUGCCCUUUAUGUCCAGUUAUUCCGAAGAACACUUGCCCCCCUCCGUCUUACCACGACUGCUGGCACAGAGUUAGUCAGGGCUUCUUCCUCGAGUCCUGUCAUGAUCACGCACUCGAUGAAAGAGCUUUACAAGAGGCAUUGCCCUUCUUCACUCACACAAUAUUACUGGAUCGCACUUUUGCCCAUUGUCCAAGAUUCCCCACUGCUGCCCCUCAUGGGAGUUUGGGCCGUGUCUUAGUCCUAGUGUGGCUGAUCAUCCGAAAAGACCAGCUAAGCAUCAUUGGCUUGGUCAGCCUUUACCUGACCAACUACCUAAUACUACACAGGCUCUUCAAACAGUGCUUUUUAGCUUUCUUUAGGAUUUGGCCCGAAUUGUUCGGCAGAUUCCCACGCAUUAUGCACCCGUUCGCCACUUUGUUCUCAACUCUUCUUACCUCCUGGGAAAGACAAGCUACCUUUAUCUAGGAGCCACUUUUCCUUCUGCCCAGCUCCCCAAAAACAACGUUCAACUUGCAUGUGUUAAGCAUAUAGCUAGCAUUCCUUCUGAGCCAGGAUCAAACUCUUUUUUUGACUAUGAUUGGGCCCUGCAGUGGUAGAACCUGGUGAAUCGGGUGUACUAUUUCCCAACCUUCUGUGAACUUUUCUUCUCUUAUGCUUUUUGCUACUUUUUUAUAGUAUUGGUCUCGUUUAGAGUAUCAGUCUAGUCACUCAAAUAGUCCACUCAUGGAGUGCGUUUGGUAUAGUAGUAGUCUGGUAGUUGAGACUUUGCCCCUUCUUCUUCAGUAAAGUCGAGCCCAACUAAACUAUUGAUUACGCUAAACAUAGCUUUAGAGGCUCUUACUAGAUAGGGCGGCAGAAUAGAAGUCUCACUACAAGCUUUUAGUCUUAAGCAGGCAGCGGCGGUCAGGAAUGAAUGUUAUAUUAAACUAUCCGCCAUUUCAUUAGGACAACACUUGCUUAGUUUUUUUCUAGCUUGAUUGCGAAGCAUGGUUUGGAAAGGUCAGUUGAAAGACGAUAUAUAUCAACAUUCAAACCUAUUACUUUGUGGCUGGCCCCAGUGCUUAACAUCAGGUUCUCUCCACAUACAUAUGAAAAGUAAGACAACCAUAUUAGCUCAUCAACUCUCCUUAACGUACCCUCACUAUAUAGGUGCGGACUUGCGUACGGUUUCACUUACCUAACAGCUGCCAAAAGCAAAAGCUUCAAUAUUGAUGGGCUUAUUAUCUUUUUUCUUAUCUUAAUAAAAGGGAAAAUAAGAGAGAGAUCACUCCUCCGGCAGUCGCUAAACAUUGUGCCUUCCUUUCUGCUUACACCAUUUCUUUAUGAAUGCUCCGCUUUUCGCUUUGUCGCGCUACUUCUGCUAGCAACCGGCUUUGGAUUCUCCUUAAGGCACCGUGUUGAGUAGGGAUUUGAAUAGAAACUCUAUUUUAGGGAUCAAUGUUGCUGGACUCUACUCCUCUCCCUAGGCUUGCUCUGCUCUAUACCCAAAGCUUCAACUCAAUCACUUGAGACUUCUGGUCUUAUGUCCUCCACACAGGCCUUGAAUGCUUCUUUUUAUAAUGAAGUCGAGUUAUGGCAUCAUAGAUUAAGGUAUCUUUAUGUGUCAAAGAGACGAGUCUUAGUUCCUAGUUUAUCUGAAUCAAGUGUGUCUGAGUUGCAGUCUUAUGUAUGUAAGAGGGCUAAGCAUAUUCUAAAGUAAUAUUCCUAUAGUGAGAGUCAUUGUAGUGUACUAUUUGAGUUAGUUCACUCUGAUGUACGGGGGAAUGCCCCUACUCUUUCUUUAUUGGGUUAUAAUGAUUUUGUGACUUUUUUGGAUUCUUUAUCUCAUCUUACUACUAUUUAUCAACAAAUAUCAUUGGAUGAGGUUAGUUUUAUCCUUCCUUUAAGAUGAAUCUUCAAAAGUCUUUAUGGUCUGAAGCAGUGUUAACCUAGUUUUACCUGAUUAAUAGGGAUGCUUUCCAUGGUAUUGAAAGGGACCUGUACAAGUGUGAAAUCCUAAUGCUAAAAACUUUAUUCUUCUACCUAAUUUCUAAAUGUAUCGAAGUCCUGGGUAGUAAAGAAAAGUGGGAUGCUAUAUUUCCAGGAUUGGGAUUCGUAAGUAUGUUAAUAGAUUCUUGAUCUAUAUCUUCUAUUUUUGGGUGUGUGUUAUGUCUAUGUAACCGGGACCUCUCAUGAGAAAUUGGAUCCUAGAGCUGUGAGAUGUGUCUUCACUGGUUAUCCGACAUCACAAAAUGCUUUGAUCCCAUUACAAAAAGAAAGUAUGUCUCUAUGGAUGUUACUUGAUUUUCAAAUCAACCCGAUUUUCAUGACCCAACCAAGAAAACCUUGAGUCAUCAACAAGAAGAACCUGAGUCAAGUGAUCAGCCGUCUUUUAUAAUCCCUAUGUCAUCUGCCCAUAGAGAAAACAAUGCUACUACUCCUCCAGGGGAAGAUGCGGUCAAGACCAAUUAGUGGAAGACAUACUAACCUGACGAGGUAAGAGAGGACAAGUUGUCCCUUAUGUUCCUCUUGUUAACAGCGAGGAUCUUUUCCUUGAAUUGGGAAAUGCCAAUAUGCCUCAAGUGAAGAGAGUGAAACUAACCCUGAAACUUCUGAUCUUGAUCUUACGAUUACAGUCAGGAAAGGGGAAAAAGAGCUUGUACCUAACUCCCUUUGAACUACUAUAUAUCCUAUCCAAAAUUGUCAUCCUCCUACAAGGCCUUUAUAUCCACUUGUAAUUCGGUAUCCAUACCAAAGACUAGAAGGAAAGCCUUGUGUGCCCGUUACUGGAAUAGGGCGAUGAUGGAUGAGAUGAGUGCACUUGAGAAGAAUGAGACAUGGGAGAUUGUUGAUUUACCUCCUGGAAAGAAGACUGUGGGAUCUAAAUGUAAAUGGAUAUACACAGUGAAAUUCCAACCAAGUGGGGGAGAUUGAGAGAUAUAAAUCAAGGUUAGUGGCAAGAGGAUUCACACAAACCAAAGGAAUAGACUAUGGCGAGACCCUUUCAACAGAGGCAAAGGUCAUUUCUAUUAGAAUCUUACUUUCCUUGGCUACACAGAGAUCAUGGCGAUUGUAUCAGUUAGAUGUGAAAAAUGCCUUUUUGCAUGGGGACUCGCACGAGGAGGUGUAUAUAGAGAUAGCACAUGGAUAUGGAAUGAAAGGCGAGUCACAUAAAGUAUGCAGAUUGAAAAAAGCCCUGUAUGGAUUGAAGCAAUCCCUGAAGGCGUGGUUUGAGAAGUUCAGUAAGGCCAUAGUUUAGUUUGGCUACGAAAGGUGUGCUUCUGAUCACACACAUUUCGUAAUGUAAUAAAGGGUGAGAAAGUGAGCCGGAUCAUAGUAAAUAUUUAGAAUAUUGUGGUCACUGGUGAUGAUGUUGAUGAGAUUGCAAGAUUGAAGGCUUACCUGAGCCGCACCUUCGACAUAAACUUAGCAUGCUGACGGUACUUCUUGGACACAGAGGUUUUCAAAAUCUAUAAGAAGUAGAACCAUCUCUCAAAUUAUGUCCUUGAUUUGAAGAAAACAGGGAUGUUAGGUUGCAAGGACGCAAUUAUCCCAAUAGAAGAAAAUCAUAAGCUUGAAGAAAAGAGAAAAGAACCCUUGGAUGAUGUAGGCAUCAGAGACUUGUGGGAAAAUGUCAGAUAUCAUACUAUCACUAGACCUGACAUUACCUAUGCUGUGGGAUUGGUAAGCCAUUAUAUGCAUGCUCCUUGUCAAGCACACCUACAUGUAGUAUAUAGGAUCUUGAGGUACCUCAAAGGUUAUCUUGGUAAAUGUAUGAUCUAUACUAAUCAUGGCCAUGGGAGAGUGGAAAUCUAUAGUAAUGUUGAUUGGGGUGGGUCAGUAGAGGACAGGAGAUCAACUUUAGGAUGAGAAAAAAUCACUGAGAAAGCAUCUUGGCAAAGAUAAAAGAGUUUGACACCUGACCGAAACAAAGCCCGUAUUCUUCCUAAACCCCCUAUUCUUAGCAUGACGGAUAUUGAAUAAAGGGACGACCAAGGGGAUUUGAGGGAAGCAUAAAGGAAGACGCCAAAAGUUUAUGUUAAAAGAGAUGGCUAUGAGACUAAUGCAAACAAUAUGUGGAAAUAGUCGAUUUAGUAGUCUUCUUUCUUUCUCCGGGUAUGAACUCCUCCCUUGAGGAAGGCCCCUGUUGUGGAAAUUCAACACAGAGGGUGUAGUUACUAUAACUAAUAAGAAGCAUAGUAAAGUCAGUGUAGAAUAAUGAAAUCUCUUAUUAGCGAAGGAAGGAAGGAAGUGUAGCUUUGAAAGCACCAAGGAGGCAUUAGGGGAAACCGUCAUAGGAAGGAAGUGUAGCUUUGAAAGCACCGAGGAGGCAUUAGGGGAAACUGUCAUUCAAGGUCGGAAGAAUCGGAAACCGACUUAAAAAUGGAACCCUUUCUCUAGCAGCCUCUUGGCUUCUUUCUUUACAAUCAGUCCAGGCCAGUAGCUGCUCCUGGCUUUUGGACAGCUAGAGCACCGACAGAUAGAGUGAAGAGUCCAUAAGGAGAAGAGCCAAGGCUUAUUGUAGAUAAGGGUUGUAUACGAUAAGUUUGAGUCAACUAUCUUAUUCGCGAGAAUUUAUUCUCUUCGGUCUUGUCUCCUCACUAAGUGGCUGCACACACCUAUCUUAUAGAUAGAGUCAUGCACGAAACGGGUAUUUACUUGUUAUUUUUAGCAUGUGCUAGCUAAAGGGUAUCUGCGGUUGAAUUCAUUGUUUUGCUGGUCGACUGAGGAAAAGGCAAAUGGUAUUUGGAGGAAAGGCAUGAUUUUCGUCUUGAUGAAGUGUAGAACGGGGUUUUCUUUCCAUUGAGCCGGGGAGACAAUCUAAAUCGUAGUCAUUGUCCAUUAUUUGAUUGAGCACGACGUGGUCUGCUAGUCACGUUAAACCAUCCAAAGGAGUACCGUUAGCCCCCAAAAGUGUUUUUCUUCUCGCGCGAAAGAAAAAAGAUGUUUAGCUUUUUUUAUCUGCCUCCUUUACCUAUCAAAGAUUCUGUUAACAUUGCAGAUGGCGCUCUCUUACCUCUUUCACACUAUGGGUCUAUGUCUUCAUCCCGGAUUCUUCAUGAUAGAUUCCAUUUUCCUCCUAAAAAGAAAUUUCUGUCAGUCACCUUGCAGCUAACCAUCUUCGUGUCAUCUUUUCUUCUUCUGAGUGUCUUAUCCACGAUCAGCGCAUGGGAAGGAUUGUUAGCCGAUUGGGAAAGCUUUAUUAUACGGAUAUUCUUCUCUACAUUCCCUUUUUUAGCUACUUCGUUAGGAUAAGGAAUGGGACCCGCCGUCGCCUGAGACAUACACAACACACAGUGCAAGAAUUCUUCCAUUAUCUAGGGUAUAUUCCUGCAUUUCAUUUAGAUGGGUUGAACAAUUCAUGUGAUUGUUUACAGUUGGAAAUUGUAUGCUCCUGGAUUAAACAUAAGAAUCCAAUUCUUUCUUUGGAUUGAUUCAUUCGUUAGUGUCCACUUGUGAUUUGACCUACGGCUGAUUGUUGGAUAUAUCACAGACAACUACUUGAAUUUCAUUAAGGGGUCCUACUCGAGUGCAGUCAUUCAUAGGUGCAAGGUACUUUACUUACUAUUAUAAGUGGAUGACUACAGUAGAUACAUCUGGCUUUCUUUACUUAGAGAGAAGUCCUAAGCUCUUUUGUUGUUGAAUAUAUAGAAAGUUUGGAAAAUAAGUCAAAUCUCCAGAUCAAGAGGUUGAGGUCUGAACUCCGGUGGAGAAUGCAUGUCAAGGGUGUUUGAUUUCAUGCUCCUGAAGAUAGGAAUCAAACGUGAGCUGUCGUGUGUUCAUACUCCACUGCAGAAUAGGGUGUCUGGAAGAAAACACCGACAUAUAGUUGAAAUGGCUUUGACUUUGAUGAUAAAUAAUGGAGUACCAAAUCAUCUAUGGGUUGAAGCAUUCACUACUGCAGUGUAUUUAAUCAAUAGAUUGCCAUUUUCUAUUAUCAACAUGCAAUCUCCCUUUUCUUCUCUUUAUGGUCGUGAUACUUUUCAGGGGGAGAUCACUACCCUUUCUGAGACAUCUGACUGGGGUGGCCAUCACCUUCUCGUCGGUGAUCACUGUCGCCAAGAAUGGCAUAGUCGCAAAGCUUCGUUGUGCCAUACACCCUUUCAGUAGCUAUCCACACAAGCAUAUGAUGUUUAAGUGUGAAUAGAGGCUAAUAACUCAAAAAUCAGAGGGGUUGACCCUUCAUAAACGUCACAACUGAUGACCUAUAGACUUUAUUAUAUUAUAGAAACUAUAUGGUAAUUGAAAGACUGUACAGAACAAAGUAUGAACAGUCCAGGAAGUUGCAAAGGGAUUUCCAAACAACCCUACAUAUAGGACAUUAGGAUAACAGAUAAGGAAUCGAUAGCAGCCUUAACAUAGAUAAAAAGAGAAGAAUUUUUGCUUUCUUCUGAAGUACUGCAACGGUUGGGUCUUAUUAUAGGUACCAUCCAUUCUGAACCUUGCCAAAACCUUCAUCCAUCAUGUAUAGGCCGUACCAAGGCCUGAUAUAAGGGUAAGCCAAUAGCAAAUAACCUUUUCUUCCCUGCCUCCUCGACCUUCAUUCCCAUUCUACAGCCAAAGUGAUAGCGGCUGUAGCAUCCACCAAUAAUGUGUGGAAGAGGGUAAGAUUUCUAUGUGGAUAGGACGUAUCAACACCUUUUGCAUCUUUUUAUUUGAAAAGAAAUAUAGUGGAAUAAUAUAGUGUUGGGUCCUGAGGACUAUGAUGGCCUAAGAUCAAAACCUAAAUGUGCUAGGGUUGAUCAUCGAAGCCUGGGCAAUAACGAUUAAGGAAUUUGAGCGCUGAUGUAGCUAAGAGCCACCUUCAUCGUCAAUUCAUUAGGGUUGUCACCUUCUACCCAAAAAAGUAUCCACCCUUUUAUUUAUCUAUUAAGCCUCACUACUAUGGGACUUUCUAAAGAAAACUGCAAUCGCAGUUUAUCAACCACUCACAAGACCACCAAGAUCUUUGACUUAGCUCCCAAAGGUAAUCCACCCGGCCCUUUCCCAACCUAUACAAGGAGAGUGGAAGAUAACGAAAGGGAGACAGGGUCCUAACUAAAUAUAACACAAACUAUCAUUCUAUCUAUCAUAUUAGUCGAGUCAAUCCGAUUCGUUCUUAUCUAUAGAUAAGGCAAGAGAGAACUUAUGACCUCAUGGAUGGAGAGGGAUUCGAACCCCUGGUAUUUCAAAAAAUACUUCGGUUUUCAAGGCCGACUCUGUCAACCACUCAGACAUCCAUCUCCUUUGUGCUUCGCCCACCCUAUCCAUCCUUAGUUGGAAGAUAGGGGCUUAUCUAUGUGAUUCUCUAUGCUUGCCUGCGCCUAUCGGCUGAUUCUAUUGCCUGCCGGUUAGCAAAACUUUUCCAAUAAUUUGAAUCGCUACGCUUCGCCUCUUUGUAUAUGAUAAUAUGCAUCUUGGUUGCUGCGCUCCCUAUGGGUAAUAGCAAGAGAGUGAAUAACGAAUGAUCCUCCAAACUCAAAGAGUGAUUGAGUCCGACUCAAGCAAGUGAGUGAAAGGCGUGGCAAGAGAGCGAGUUUGACUUGCGAAUGAUCAUCAAGUGAAGGACCGAUCCUUUUACGCCAAUACUAUUGCGAGACUGGUACUUGGAGGCUCACGAGCAACAUAUAGACUAAAGUUGCCUAUCACUCCCUUGCUCUUUUUUGAAGGCCCUUUCAAUUCUCUUUCAAGUAUGCUUCCUCCAUAAGAACACUGAACGCCUAGCUUUGCAGAGCAGCUCUCUCCCCAGCCCACAACAUAUUGUGGAAUCUGGAUCCUUUCAUCGAGCAUCAUUUCUUUUAGAUAGAAAGGUGUUCUGACUCUAUUGAAUCAAGUCAUAAGCUAAGACUUCUACUAGUAGACUACUAUAGAGAGACUAAGCUCUAUUUCAGAGAUCGGACUCUCUUAUUGUGAUUAGUUCCUACUAGUAAGAAGCUGUUCCCGAGCCAGGUUCCCUGGAUCCACGUGUUCCUAGCCGGGCCUAAAUGGAUGAAUGAAGAAGCGCGCCCGGGUAGACUUCAAGAGCUCUUGCUCUGCCUAUCCUCCAACUUCUUAUUCUGGGGGUCAUAGAAAGAUACAAACCGCUUACUCUCCCUGCCAUUAGAUUGUUGAAAAUGAAAGCGGCUUGUCCUUACUAAUAAAAAACAGCAAUCCCUCCCCUUCUGUUACCUACUUUUACUCAUUUCUUCAGUAUACCUUAAUACAAGACAAGCGCAGGAAAGGAUAAACAAUUAAAACUGGGUUAUCGCCCUAUCUAAGCACCUUUCCCCUCUCUUCUAUGGAAGUAAUCAUCAAAAUCUAUUUCAGUUCCUGUGUCUGUCGCUAUCGCCCUAUUCUCUCUCAAUUGCCUAUCCUUUUUAGAUGAGGGGUAGUCCCUUAGCAGUAGCUUCCACCACUUCAGAUUGACCUCCUCAAGUGCCAGAUAUGAAUGUUUUCUGAAUUUCAUAAGGGACUACUUACUUACCGCUCCGUGGGGUACACUUUUAGCUUACCAAAAAAGUUGACUGAAGGAACUGACCUAAGCACAACUCUCUCUCUCAAAUACAAAUGUCAAGAAAGGGAUUCCUUGGAUAAGUGGAAAAAUGCUCCAAAAAUCCUUUCAUUUCUCUUUAAAGGCCUUUGUCCUACUUAUAGUAUCAGUCCUCCAGCCUAUACUUGUGUUUUUAUUAACCAAGAACACAUGUACUUUGUUGGCACUCAAAAAAAAGGUUAUUCAAUCCAAUAGUGCAACUGAAGGUGCAUAACCUCUUCUGAACCGGAACAAGAAAGAGCUCAUAACCACUUCUUGUGAACAACUCUCCUCAACUUAAGGCGCACCUACUCUUACUAAAAGUCUAGUCUCUCUCAGCUUUUGAUCUCUAACUAACUUACUUAAUAGGCCAGACCGGAAGAGAGAUAUUCAGAUAACCCAAUUUCCUGGCUUAAGAACCUGACUCAAAAGAGAAAAGAAGACAAGACUAAAAAAGAUCUCACUUUCAAUGAUUGAACGUCGACUUUUUUAUCCAGAUUGGAACAGGACUUAAACUUCUUUGGAUCCUGCUUAGGGCUGGCUUUCACUUUUGAAACAUCGACUUGCACUUGCAAUAUAGAAUUUAACUUUUCGGAAUCCUUGCUGUUGGCUUAUAUUUACAUAGGCCACUCAUAAGAAUAAGACGUUCAACUCCCUAAAACACGUGUAAUUGAGAGAGUCAUCAUAUCAGUGCCUUGGGGAAAUGCCUACCUUCAGGAGAAGAUUACCGAAUGAAUUUCAAACCUGUCCUCUUUGCUUCCCAAUAUAUUUAGGGAAAGGGGCGUUCAGCCACUUGACUCAUCGGAAGGGGCCUUGUCGGCCACCGCUUGCUGACGACGGAAUGCAUAGUCAAUUAAAGGGUCCUCGCCUUGGACUUAGUUGGAAAGGUAGGUGUUCGGCAUGUCCCUUGCUUGCGAACUUCUUUAGUAGGGCGGAGGUGCCAUUCCUCACGUUUACCCUUGUCCCCAGACUUCACUCUUUCAACACUUGUAUACUUUCUAAAGAGUCAGGCAUGCCCCUGUCCCUGUCUCCAAGUGUGUGAUCCACCGAUUCACUGAGUGACUUUUUCUUACCGCUGCGCUGGAGUCCCUAUCUCUUAAAGGGUUGGUGUGGCAGACUUCCCCCUUGUUUGCUAAUUUAAGAAAGCCUUAUAUGGAUUCAAAUAAGCGAGAAAGUCCCUUUCUAUUGUCAUUAUUCAAGUCCCUUUCUAUCUUCAUUAUUCAAGCGCGCUAGUUGCAAUCAAAAAAGAGAGCUAACGAGCAAGAAAAGGGAUGCACUAAGAAGCAAGGGCUUUUGCGCAGCUACUGCGCCCUUGCUUCUUGCUUUUGAGCCGGAGCUUGCUGGGUAGUGAAGUUGUCCGUGAAUGUUAAAUAAGACUUGUGUUAAGAAAAUAGAGUAGUCAAGCCAAAAAAGCAAGAAGUGGUUUUCGUUCGAUCGACGGAAUCAAUCGUACUUUCACUGCUGUGGACCGGCUUUCAUAAAGCACCUUUGGGCAGCAGCUACUAUUGGGACCUAAUUUCGAGAUCAAUUUGACAAUGAAACUCUUUAAUCAAUGAUCUUAUCUAUGUCAUUUCUCUUGACGCGAUACAAAAGAUGACUUUCUAGAAUCACUUAGCCUCUUGACCUCUUCUCUCAAAAAAGACGUUGUGCAGGCAAGUCAUCAAAGUCAGAGCGGGGAGGGAAUGUUUAUUUAUAGUUGUUGUAGUAUGACUUUUCAUUUCCUGUUCGGUCUUUCAAUAAGUAGUCAGCUGCGGACGUAGUCAGACGUCGACAUUGAUUGAAGCAGCUAUUGGAGAGAAGGCACCAGUCAGACCUGCAAGCACCGGGUAGUAUGCAGUGGUAAUUUCAAUCAUACAAUGUGUUCUCUUAGUAUGAAUUUUAGCGGUAGUCAGUUGUCCUCGUUCUCCUCUUUGAAUUGCCCUACUGAGUAAGGGUCGGUGCUUGCAAAAAUAUCGAGUCGACGGGGUUAAGUACCAGUAGUGACACUAGCAAAGGGGGUCUGGACACUACUUGUGUGAGUGGAAUGACCCAACUGGACCUAGUCAGCCCGAACCAUUUUGUGGUUCUAGAGGACCCUGAACCAGAAGAGGCAAAGAUGCCAGAUCUGGACACUGCUGAACUGGAAGAGAUUGCUCAGGAUGAGUGUUUGGGUAACAAAGUCGAGGAGGGUGUAGUCAAGGAGAAAACUCCUAAGGAGAGUGAUUUGGCUCAUAGAAGCAAGGAUCUGGAAGAGAGGGUCAACUAUGGCAGUGACUGAGGGUGACUUGUUCUGUGAUAAACAAAUGACUUCAAACCUCAGGGCAUCCAAAAGAGGUGAACCUGAGAAGAGCAGUAAGAGUAAGCGUUCAAGUACUGGUGCUAUGACCUUAAAGGUGGAAGAUCCUCCCCUGGUUCGAAUCACCCUGAAUGAAGAGUGGGCGAACAAGAUGCAAAACAUAUCAUAAAUGUUGAAUUCUAAGAAAGAGGGGGGCCCUUCCCGCGGAUGUGCCUUUAUUUAUAUUCUUUCAAUUUUAGAAUUACCAAUGGAGAAUCUUUCUACAAAAAUCUCUCUGGCAAAACGCAAUUCAUCGAGUUCAAUUCAAGGUGCACUUUUGUUUUUCAGGUAUCUUUUUCUUAUGCCUAUUUAGCUAGUGGGACAUUGGUCAUAGCCGAAAUUCGUCGAAGGGAUAAAACCAAAAUAAAGAAGAGAAAGAAAGGGAAGUUUUUUCUUUCUUUCAAUCCAAAUAAGAGAACAAAGAAAUCACUCCAAAAUGAAAGUUAGAUAAAGAAGUGUUAGUAAGAACUAGCACUAGACUUCUUCCCCCCUUUCUUUUUGACUUUUUCUCUAUCCUUUUGUUUGUGCUUCCACCCGGGCUUUUCAUUUUGUUUUAUAGAGACCCGAGGAAAUUCUAUAUAAUAAAUGUAGAAAGGUGAGGGUGAGAUACUUUCCCCGGCAUACAGAAAGAAAAUCCAGGAUGACGGCUUUCAAAAGACAAGUAAGGGAUUGGGAGAGGGCGACUGAAAAGGAGGCUCGACCUACAGAGAGAAGGAGUCUCUCGAAACCAAAUAAGACUAUAAAGAACAUGGGAAUUAGCACCAUUCAUAUGAGUGCUUUUGUUUUGUCUCUUCGAGAUAACAAAACAAAAAGACAGCCCUCUCUAUAUCUCGGUCUCGAUUUAGCAUCAUAUAUUGCUCUGGAGAGCUUUUUUUUUGGUUGUAGUGAGGAUGUUGGAGAAGCUCCUCUAUGUUGUGGGUGUGGAGGGGGGGCUGUCACCACUUGAUAGAGGUAGAAGUGGGGGCCACCGGAGCUAUCUGCAUCGAGUGUUUCAAUUAAAAGGAGAAGGGAGACAACUUAAAUGCCCGUACAAAAAUAGAAAGAGUCAUCCUUCAAAGUGGAAUUCUUCUAAGAUCCAUUGCUCAAUUUUGCUGCAUGCUUUGCUCCCAAAAUGCAGAGAGACUUGCGAAGCCAGAUCCGGGUUGGUUGGUCCAGAAAGUCAUGGGAGAGGCAGGCUAAGUAAAAUAAUAUACUGGUGCUAUUGAUUAUAGAAUCUUAUGAAUCAAGAACGGCACACUUUCUAUAUCUCCUCCAUCUACAAGGUAAAUAGCUUAUCUUAGAGCACAGCGUGUUCGCCACCACACUGGCUGGUUGGUGCAUUGGCCUUACCGUAAGAAGUCCGAGAGCGAUAUAUCUCGUGACAUGCGGAGCAUGGCAUUUUUUUUAGAAAGUACGUAUAACUUCAAAAGAAUCGUUCUUUAUGAAUCAAGUACCAUUCAAACAAAGGGUGCAUUGCUUCUUUGAGUGAAGAAGAGAGGGGAUUUGUAUAGACACUCUUGAGCUAUGUUCGUCGCCCUACGCUUACCAUUAUUUCAUUUCAUUCUAUUGAUUGGUUCUAGCUCCAAAGAACAUAUACAUGGAGCUAUGUCGACUUACGUAUGUCUUGUUGACUAAACGAUCAGGUAUACCAUGCCACGUAUCAUCCACUCGGCUCAAGCCAAGGACAGAUAAAGAAAAAUCAAAGAUAUAGUGAUCUUGCCAUAAGACCUUGUUCCUUUCUACUUGACAUUCUUUAUUUUCCUCGGUUUUUACCCCACAAAGCGGUAGCUUGCUUACUUACUUAGCACUUACGCUAACGAUCUAAUCAGAGUCAAACGUCGGAUUUGAAAAAAAAACCUUUCCCUUAUUAGCCGGAGUACAAGUGUACUCUUUUUUCUUUAGUAAAGGCGGAUUAAGCCAAAAAAAUUUUUUUUCGAACAGUCUCAAUGUCCUCGUUGAGAGUCGCUCUGUGAGACAUCUAAUAGUCUCUGACUUAGUCUUUGAAUCCUAAGUCUCAGCCCCUUCCCGGCUUGCCUCGCUCUCAGGUUGGCCUUUCUACUUGACUAAGUAGUAUUCCACUCGUGCAGUGGGUGUAUGGGCUAGCCCAUGGUGCGGUCAGCUAUGAUAUACUCAACUUCUUCUUUAGUAGGUUUAUCUACAACAUCUGGUGGUGCCCUCGUGGGUACGUUCCUUUCUGGGGAGGUCUGGUCUAAUCGAAUUCAACUGACUCACAUAGAAUACGGGGUUCGUUUUCACCGAGCUGGUUGCUUGAGUCUAUAGGAUACCUUUCCUAUCCGCUUUUCUACAAGGUCUACUUUCAGACCGGGCCAAGACUUUAGGUUGUUUAAGUAGGUUUGGGCUAAGGUUGUUGCGCUCCUGCCACUUCUUGGCAAAGUAUGCUGAUGGGCAAGCCCCCUCCUGUCGCAAUGGUGUGGGCGUUAGAGGCUGUUACCCCGUGGCCAACUCGAAGGGGCUGAAGUUUGACGCAGAGCUUUUUAGUUGUUAAGUUAUAGCAGGACUGAGCAACAUCCAACAGCUCUAGUCCUUCUAGUUUACACUAAAGUGGCAUAAGUAGCCAUCGAGGAGUCCAUUUAUUCUCUCCGUCUGAGCUUUCAAAGAUAUACUGACCUACAGCAUCUGACCAUCAGAUGCCUACGGUCGUCUUCUAACAUUACCGAUAUUUUGGGUUUUCAUAAAUUGAACAUAAGAUAAAAGCUCUUUUCAUCAUCAAAAACAACCAGAUUUCCGACCUCUUGCAUUACCAUAACGAAAUAAAAAAAGAAUGAAAAAAAAAAAGAUUGCUCUUUUGACUCAGGAUGAACCUUUAUCGGUGGAGGAAAGGAAUAGCGAUGGAUUCCUAUAGAGCAUCCAGGAAAAAACAGAUUCAAUCGGACGACGAAUUCUUACGUGGUCCAAGGAAAUCAAAGGUCCACUUCUACGAAUUCAAUCUAUAUUAAAUCACUUAAUAUCAAAAUAGCUUAUAUAGGCAUGAUUCAAUUCGCGAAUUAGCCCACUAUGAUUCUACUACAUUUUUUACAUAAUAUAUAUAUAUAUAAUUAGAUAAUAAUAAUAAUAAAGUAUAUCAUUCAUCUCUCUCUUACAACACAGCGAAACUAAAUGGUUCGAAUCUAAAUUGAUUUAGGGUCUGUACACCUAAUUUUCUAGAGAUUGUAGUUCAAUCGGUCAGAGCACCGCCCUGUCAAGGCGGAAGCUGCGGGUUCGAGCCCCGUCAGUCCCGACGGAUUCAAUAAAUAUAUCAAUUCAUCUCUCCAUUUUCUGUGAAAGGGGGACAGGAAGCAUAAUUUCAUUCCCAACGGGGGAUCUUUUUUUUUUCUUUUUUGUUUCGCAUUUCUCAUCAAAGGUGGCCCUUGGGCCACUUAACUGAUUGGAAAGGGGAUUUUUUCAUUACUUCAACUAGUACCGAUUGAUGGGAGAGAGACAUAUGUGGAUUAGUACAAUUUAUUAUUUAUUGGCAUAUUCAGGAUUCCAAGAGAGACUGGGUCCGGUUUUUCAACCCGAUCUAUGUAUGUAAUGAAAUAGAGUACCUUAUUUCUUUUUAUCGGGAGCACAUACACAAAUGGAAUUCCUUUCUUGUACGAUACAAAAUGAAUUUCACUCAAUUACAUUACCCUUAGAGAAUACUUUUCCAGAUUCCACUUUUUCCUUUUCUGGCUCCGAUUUUGUGUAACCUCAAUUAUGAACAUUUUGAAUUUGAAAAAAGAAAGAUAUAUCUCAUUCAAAUUUCACACUGAGCUUUUGAUAUAUGCGUCCCAGUACUAAUCCAAGGAAGGAGGAUAUUCAAAAAAA
rnacentral:lncRNA from 1 species